rnacentral:rRNA from 1 species
UACGAAGGGGGCUAGCGUUGCUCGGAAUCACUGGGCAUAAAGCGCACGUAGGCGGUGCCGUAAGUCGGAUGUGAAAUCCCUCGGCCUAACCGAGGAACUGCGUCCGAUACUGCGGUGCUUGAGGAUCAGAGGGGUGCAUGGAAUUUCCGGUGGAGCGGUGAAAUGCGUUGAUAUCGGAAGGAACUCCGGCGGCGAAAGCGAUGCACUGGCUGAUUUCUGACGCUGAGGUGCGAAAGCCAGGGGAGCAAACGGG